AGAGUUUGAUCCUGGCUCAGAUUGAACGCUGGCGGCAUGCCUUACACAUGCAAGUCGAACGGCAGCACGGGGGCAACCCUGGCGGCGAGUGGCGAACGGGUGAGUAAUACAUCGGAACGUGCCCAGUAGUGGGGGAUAGCUCGGCGAAAGCCGGAUUAAUACCGCAUACGACCUACGGGUGAAAGCGGGGGAUCGCAAGACCUCGCGCUAUUGGAGCGGCCGAUGUCAGAUUAGGUUGUUGGUGGGGUAAAAGCCUACCAAGCCGACGAUCUGUAGCUGGUCUGAGAGGACGACCAGCCACACUGGGACUGAGACACGGCCCAGACUCCUACGGGAGGCAGCAGUGGGGAAUCUUGCGCAAUGGGCGUAAGCCUGACGCAGCGACGCCGCGUGAGGGAAGAAGGCCUUCGGGUUGUAAACCUCUUUCAGGAGGGACGAAGCCACUCGGGUUAAUAGCCCAGAGGGUGACGGUACCUCCAGAAGAAGCCCCGGCUAACUACGUGCCAGCAGCCGCGGUAAU
rnacentral:rRNA from 1 species